rnacentral:rRNA from 1 species
AGUUCGAUUCUGGCUCAGAUUGAACGCUGGCGGGAUACGUUUUUACACAUGCAAGUCGAAACGGCAGCGGCCUGGACUUCGUCUGGUGGCGAUGGGCGAACGGGUGAGUAAUGUAUCGGAACGUGCCUAGUAGCGGGGAGUGCCACAACUACGCGAAAGCGUAGCUAAUAGCCGCAUAAUGCCUCAAAGCGGGGACCUUCGGCCUCGCACUAUUAGAGCGGCCGAUAUCGGAUUAGCUAGUUGGUGGGGUAACGGCUCACCAAGGCGACGAUCUGCAGCUGGUUUGAGGACGGCCAGCCACACUGGGACUGGAGAGGCUGCCCAGACUCCUACGGGAGGCAGCAGUGGGGAAUUUUGACAAUGGGGAAACUCCUGAUCCAGCCAUCCUUCCGCGUGUGCGAUGAAGGCCUUCAAGCAGUAAAGCACUUUUGGCAGGAAGAAACGGCACGGAUAAUACCCCGUGCAACUGACGGUACCUGCAGAAUAAGCACCGGCUAACCAGCCGCACAGCAGCCGCGGUAAUACGUAGGUGCGUUAAUCGGAAUUACUGGGCGUAAAGCGUGCAGCAGGCGGUUCGGAAAGAAAGAUGUGAAAUCCAGAGCUUAAUCUUGGAAUCAUUUAACUACUGAGCUAGAGUGUGUCAGAGUGGAGGUGGAAUUCCGCGUGUAGCAGUGAAAUGCGUAGAUAUGCGGAGGAACACCGAUGGCGAAGGCAGCCUUCCUGAUAACACUGACGCUCAUGCACGAAAGCGUGGGGAGCAAACAGGAUUAGAUAUUCUGGUAGUCCACGCCCUAAACGAUGUCAACUAGCUGUUGGGGCCUUCGCCUUUGGUAGCGCAGCUAACGCAGGAAGUUGACCCGCCUGGGGAGUACGGUCGCAAGAUUAAAACUCAAAGGAAUUGAUUUGGACCACGCGGUGGAUGAUGUGGAUUAAUCUGAUGCAACGCGAAAACCUUACCUACCCUGACAUGUCUGGAAUCCCGAAGAGAUUUGGGAGUGCUCGCAAGAGAACCGAACACAGGAAAGGCUGCUGUCGUCAGUCGUGUCGUGAGAUGCUGGGUUAAGUCCCGCAACGAGCGCAACCCUUGUCAUUAGUUGCUACGAAAGGGCACUCUAUCGAGACUGCCGUGACAACUCUGAGGAAGGUGAUGACGUCAAGUCCUCAUGGCCCUUAUGGGUAGGGCUUCACACGUCAUACAAUGGUCGGGACAGUGGUCGCCAACCCGCGAGGGGAGCCAAUCCCAGAAACCCGAUCGUAGUCCGAUCGCAGUCUGCAACUCGACUGCGUGAAGUCGGAAUCGCUAGUAAUCGCGGAUCAGCAUGUCGCGGGUACGUUCCCGGGUCUUGUACACACUCGCCUGUCACUAUCUAAGGGAGUGGGUUUACCAGAAGUAGUUAGCCUAACCGCAAGGAGGCGCAAUUACCACGGUAGGAUUCAUGACUGGGGUGAAGUCAACAAGGUAG